rnacentral:tRNA from 2 species
GCGGGCGUGUUGUAAUUGGUAGCCAAGCCAGACUUAGGAUCUGGUGCCGGAAGGCGUGGGGGUUCGAGUCCCUUCGCCCGCACGA